AGAGGCAGUUAGCAGGCACCUGGACGAUAUGCCUGCCUCCCACUUCAAGGGUAAUAUUGUCUUUCCAUCUAAUUUUUAUUAGCUUCGCUUGGAUUAUAUCGACCACUUUGGAAAACCUGGCAAUCACCGCUUCUUUGGCUUCUGUCUUCUUGUUCUUCUCGGUGCCAGGCAGACACCUCCUUGAGAAACUUGGCAGAUGCAGGUUCUCUGUAUCAAAAACCAAUCUAGCAAUAGUUUAAAAGCUCCAGCGUCUGGAAAUUGCAGCUUCCCAGUUCCACCUUUUCGUUCCUUGCAGUUCCUGAUCUUAUCUUCGCACUUUCGCCAAUUUUUCUCUUUGGCUCAUUGUUUCUUAUAAAAAGAAGUUGAACUUGUAUAGCUGAUGGAUUCCAAAGAACCAAACAAGUGCUCUUACGCGGAAAAAAGAAAGGCUGCAAUGCAACUCAAACGAUUAGAUACGCAAAGCCAAAUAUCUGCUCAUAGCAGGGAAGCGAUGUUGCUAUCGCGACGUAUGAGAAGACAACAUUCUACUAAGCACAGCCUUCUUCAAAGCCCGUUUUUUGCUGUCCCACAGCAAUCAACAUCAUCUUGGGACAAAGCAGGAUUUCUAAAACAAACUGCUCUUACCAUACGAGAACCUCCUUCACUUCCUGAAAAAGUCGGCCAUCAAGCUUGCACGCCUACAUCGUGGGAUAAUUUAGAAAAAGGAAAGGGUAUAUUGGAUCCCCCUAUCAUUUGUGAAACAGCUGCUACCUUAGCCUGUAUGCUUACAUCAUCUGCUAAUUUAGACAAAGGAAAGGGUAUAUUGGACCCCCCUAUCAUUCGUGAAACAGGGUCCACAUCGGGUACAUCUAACCUGCGUCAUGUUAUCUUGAACACUGUUCCAAUCAAAGCUCAUAGGCGGGCCAGAAAGGUGUGCCUGGUCACUAAAGAGCAACGAAGUGAGUAUGUUGCUCUAAAAAGGGUCCCAAACUGUCAAUUCUGUCAUGCAAAGAAGUUUGAAUAUGAACCUCCAGGAUUUUGCUGUAACAGUGGUUCAAUAAGGUUGACAUCUCAUAAAAUGCCAACUGAAUUAUCGGAGUUAUACUUUGGAAAUACUUCAAAAAUACUGAAAAAAUAUUUUAUGCUCAUUUGUAUAUACACUGGGGACCCCUCAAAUAAUUUACCUGGCCCCCUUAAGUAAUAAACGCCGGACAAAAGUGCUGGUUUUGUAGCCUGCUCAAGUGCUUCAGUUAGUUGAUGGACCCAGGUUCGAAACUCAACUCCGUCACCUCACUCCUUCCCUUUUCCUUUUUUAAUUCAACGAUUGUUUACUUAGUUCUAAUCUACUGCUUUUUUUUAUUUUAUCUUUUCUGAUUUCUUUAAUGCUUGUACCAAUACUCAACCUAGAUUUUUAACCUUUUUAAAAACCCCUCGCUCACCCCUUCUGCUUAAAAACAAAUAUUCUUUUUCAAUUGAUUGUUUUAACCUUUUUCCGCAUUUGCUGAACUCUGACUGUGCGAAUCAGUGACAGUGACUCAGUUUGAGACUCUUCUUCAGCUGAAACAUACCCUUAGUAAGUUUUUUUUUCUUUUGAAGAUAUUAACUUAGCAAAAUAAUCUGCUAUCGAACUUUUGCUUUCUGCAAAGAGCCGAGUUAAAAGAGAACGCCAAAUUAAUGUCGUAGCUAGUAGGCAUUUGAAAAUUGAGUGCUAAUGUUAAUUUGAAAUAUUCUUUCAGUGAAGUGUUUGUCUUCAAACAAAAUUGUGUUUGGAAAUUCGUAUAAAAGCAGAACUUCGAAUUAGGAUAUCUUUUAUAGGACUAGGGUGAAAUUUCGAACUUGUUUAAUUUAAUUAAUACUUGUUCCCAUAGUAGUUAGGUUAAGUAGUAAGCCUUAAAAUCUUAUUAUAACCUGAACAUUGGAACUGUUUUUAUUAAUAAAGUCUAUAGUAUAAUAAUAUUCACUUCUUACAAAUGGAUUUUGGUCUUAGGAUAACUUUGUUGUCCACUUGGUAACAAUAUGGUAUUUACGUAUAUAAGUAAUGAUAUUUAAUAAAAUUAAAGUUUGUAUUUUGCUGAUAAUUUAUCAUAAUUAUAUGUAUUUAUAUUAUGUAUUGACUCCCCUUAAUUUUUUGAUAUGUUUACUUUUAUAUAUUUGGAAACCCCUUAACGAAAAUUAUGAAUCCGCCAUUGGCCAGUAAUUGGUACGCUUAAUAUAAUAGUGCCCCCGUAAUGCUCAAAUUCUGGGUCCGCCUCUGUUCUCAACUACCCUACUUUGCAAGUAUUUUUCCUUGUAAAUAUUGUACUCUUUACACCGACAAACUGUAUUUAUCGAAAUAAAACAUGCUAUAAUCCAAAGUGUUGGAUUCUUUGUUUGUUUGAUUUCGUUCCCCGUACUAACUGUAUUAACAGUGAGAUUCCCUGCAAUGUCGAUGAAGGAAUCCCAGAGAAGGGGGUUCCGAUGAUGGGGCAGAACUGCUUUUUUGUGCUUCCAUAUCUAUCUCUGCUGAAGAGUUGCGGCGUCUCACUAUGGCAGAAGGAAAAGUCGGCGUCUCACUAUGGCAGAAGGAAAAGUAGACAAAGAUUCAACUGGAGAAGUUUUGGACAAGGUUCAACUUAGAGAUGAUUUAACUGGAAAAGUUAUUAAAGAUAAUGACCAUGACCGAAUUGCUGCAAUUAAGUUACUUUUAGUAGGAUGGUUUUCCUGAUUUAAUAGGGGUUCCUUUAUUUGGAUUCUGUCAGUUGUAUUUCUCUAAGUUCUUUGGGGCUUGACCAACAGAUGUUAAGAUUACAAGAGUUGGGUGAUUAAUUGAGGCUAGAACUGUAUAUUGCUCAGCUGACGAGUAGAUGGAACACUAUUCCGUUGGCAUUAGAACACUUGGAAAAAAACAGGCAGAAUAAGCACGGGCAAUCUUCAUCUAGUAAAAGAAUAUACAUGAGCAUUAUUGGAAUUGGGAUUGGUGCCUUUUAUUCGAGUAUUGAGGGACUAGUGAAGGUUGCACGGCCCAAUAAUUGUAUUAUAUGAUGCGAGAUUUUCUUUUGCAGUGUCUUUUUGUCUACCUGUUUAUACGUUUAGCAUCGUUUGUUUCGAUCUA